rnacentral:rRNA from 1 species
AACAGGAUUAGAUACCCUGGUAGUCCACGCUGUAAACGAUGUCGACUUGGAGGUUGUUCCCUUGAGGAGUGGCUUCCGGAGCUAACGCGUUAAGUCGACCGCCUGGGGAGUACGGCCGCAAGGUUAAAGCUCAAAUGAAUUGACGGGGGCCCGCACAAGCGGUGGAGCAUGUGGUUUAAUUCGAUGCAACGCGAAGAACCUUACCUACUCUUGACAUCCAGAGAACUUAGCAGAGAUGCUUUGGUGCCUUCGGGAACUCUGAGACAGGUGCUGCAUGGCUGUCGUCAGCCCGUGUUGUGAAAUGUUGGGUUAAGUCCCGCAACGAGCGCAACCCUUAUCCUUUGUUGCCGGCGGUUAGGCCGGGAACUCAAAGGGGACUGCCAGUGAUAAACUGGAGGAAGGUGGGGAUGACGUCAAGUCAUCAUGGCCCUUACGAGUAGGGCUACACACGUGCUACAAUGGCAUAUACAAAGAGAAGCGACCUCGCGAGAGCAAGCGGACCUCAUAAAGUAUGUCGUAGUCCGGAUUGGAGUCUGCAACUCGACUCCAUGAAGUCGGAAUCGCUAGUAAUCGUGGAUCAGAAUGCCACGGUGAAUACGUUCCCGGGCCUUGUACACACCGCCCGUCACACCAUGGGAGUGGGUUGCAAAAGAAGUAGGUAGCUUAACCUUCGGGAGGGCGCUUACCACUUUGUGAUUCAUGACUGGGGUGAAGUCGUAACAAGGUAACC